AUUGAACGCUGGCGGCAGGCCUAACACAUGCAAGUCGAACGAGUGGCGGACGGGUGAGUAAUGUCCGGGAAACUGCCUGCGGGAGGGGGAUAACUACUGGAAACGGUAGCUAAUACCGCAUACCAUCAGAUGUGCCCCGAUGGGAUUAGCUAGUUGGUGGGGUAACGGCUCACCAAGGCGACGAUCCCUAGCUGGUCUGAGAGGAUGACCAGCCACACUAGAACUGUGACACGGUCCAGAAUCCUACGGAAGGCAGCAGUGGGGAAUAUUGAACAAUGGGCGCAAGCCUGAUGCAGCCAUGCCGCGUGUAUGAAGAAGGCCUUCGGGUUGUAAAGUACUUUCAGCGGGGAGGCGUUACCCGCAGAAGAAGCACCGGCUGACUCCGUGCCAGCAGCCGCGGUAAUUC
rnacentral:rRNA from 1 species